AAAGGACAAGGAGCACAGUGGAGAGGGGGAUUGGCCAGUGGAAGCGGAGAUUUCAUGUGCUCCAUGGUGAAAUCAGAGUCAGCCCUCCUGCAUAUGUGUGUAGAAUAAUACAGGUGUGUGCUAUUUUGCACAACAUCUGCAAAGACAGACGCCUCCCUGUACCCGAGGAAGGAGAGGACGAGGGUGAUGGUGCAGGUUUCCAUGAGGACCCACCUGUCCCACUACCACCUGUACCUGGACGAGUUCGGGAAGGUCUGCUCUACAGGGAUGAGUUUGUCAACCUUCACUUCAUUGACAGACCUCAACCUCAGCCUCGUGCAGCUGUGUGAUGCUUCCCG